GUGCUCAUUUUGGCAGCACAUGUACUAAAACUGGAAUGAUACAGAAAUUAGCAUUGUCCCCACACAAGGAUGACACACAAAUUCAUGAAGUGCCCAUAUCUUUA